CCUAUUGAGUGUUAUAUCAAAUGAUAGUAGAUAUGAGAGUAUCUCAUAUUGAGGUCAGACACAAUGAUGUAGGAA
rnacentral:ncRNA from 1 species